rnacentral:rRNA from 1 species
GGGCACCCAAAGAACGCGUGGAGCAUGUGGCUUAAUUUGACUCAACGCGGGGAAUCUUACUAGGUCCGGACCGAUUCUAUGAUCGUCGUACUGUGGGGUGCUACGUGAUUACUGGAUGAGUGGUGCAUGGCCGUUCUUAGUUCGUGGUGUUAAUUGUCUACUUAAUUGUCAUCAGUUUAAUACAUGUAUUGAACUAUGAACGAACGAGAUCGAGACCCGUGGUUGCGUGUGUUUGAAUUCGGUAUUACUACGGGGAUCGCGUAUUACUCCACGGUACGAUCGAAAGACUCGGCAAUAACAGGUCUGUGAUGCCCUCAGAUGUUCUAGGCUGCACACGUGCUACAGUGUGGUUCUGUUCAUAUGUGUAUGCGUAGACUUGAGAUCCCCCGCACCGAGUCAUAACUGGUCACAUUGGUUGGGCUCACCGAUUGUCAAUUAUUCGGUAUCUUAACUAGGAAUGC